CCGACGCCACGCAUUUGUACAGAGAAGUUUAUCCCGACAAUCGCACGUAUAAAGGACCCUGUUCUUUACCAAGUGAGCACAACACAAACCGACUAUUCUCAUUUAGUGCUCGAUUGAAAUCUCCUUUUGAUUUGGAAAAAUGAAGAGUAAAUGUUUUUGGAUGCUUUUAGCAUUAGUUUUAUUAUCUUUUGUAAGCUUGGGGAGCGCAUUCACACCCGCUGCAGGAUGUAGGAUAAAAGCGGGGUGCAAUUCUCAGGCUGCACGAGAAUACAGCGAUCAGAAGGAUUUUAUAAGAGCAUAUUGUGACAAAGCCCGUCCAUGUAAGGGAGCAAACGGAAAACGUAGUCUUCUACGGCAGGAAGCCGUACUGGAGAGGGACGAGGAACAUUUUUGAAUUGGAAGCAAAGAUGACUAUCACCAUAGCGAGAGGAAUUUUACAAAAUUGUUUAGACGACUACAUAAUUUCCUUAGCGCAUAAAAAAAGAUUGUUUGAAUAUUUAUGUCUGUUAUUAUAAACUUUAGAUGAUAAAUUGUGAAAAUUCGGAAUUAUUAUGGGACUUCAUUGACAUAGUAUCGCAUAGAAUACCGAUUCCAUUUACGGAAAUAAGUUUAUUAGAGCCUUAAAUGGAUUGCACAUGUUUAGAUUUAUUUUUCCUUUUAGGACAAGAGCUCGCUUGCCACCUUAACCACUUUCCAAGGUGAUUAUCACAAUAGCUAGAGGAACAUCAAAUUUAUCUAUUCUAACGACUGUAUAUUUUUCUAAGCUUGUGUAUCAGUUUAAAUGACGAUACUAUAUGAAUAUUUAUGUCCUAAAUCAUAAACCCGAGAUUCUGAGUUGUGUAGACUUCAUCAACAUAGUAUCUAAUAAACAUUCAGUUUAAUUUUA